GUCCCUGUAGCUCAAUGGGUAGCACUUUGGAUUUCUAAUCCAAAGGUCGUGGGUUCGAAUCCCACCUGGGAUG